rnacentral:rRNA from 2 species
UGGGGAAUAUUGCACAAUGGGCGAAAGCCUGAUGCAGCAACGCCGCGUGAGCGAUGAAGGCCUUCGGGUCGUAAAGCUCUGUCCUCAAGGAAGAUAAUGACGGUACCUGACUAAGAAGCCCCGGCUAACUACGUGCCAGCAGCCGCGGUAAUACGUAGGGGGCAAGCGUUAUCCGGAUUUACUGGGUGUAAAGGGAGCGCAGACGGAACUGCAAGUCUGAUGUGAAAGCCCGGGGCUCAACCGCGGGACUGCAUCGGAUACUGUGGAUCUGGAGUGCCGGAGGGGCAAGCGGAAUUCCUGGUGUAGCGGUGAAAUGCGUAGAUAUCAGGAGGAACACCGGCGGCGAAGGCGGCUUGCUGGACGGCAACUGACGUUGAGGCUCGAAAGCGUGGGGAGCAAACAGG